CCUACGGGUGGCUGCAGUGAGGAAUAUUGGUCAAUGGACGCAAGUCUGAACCAGCCAUGCCGCGUGCAGGAUGACGGCUCUAUGAGUUGUAAACUGCUUUUGUACGAGGGUAAACCCCGAUACGUGUAUCGGGUUGAAAGUAUCGUACGAAUAAGGAUCGGCUAACUCCGUGCCAGCAGCCGCGGUAAUACGGAGGAUCCGAGCGUUAUCCGGAUUUAUUGGGUUUAAAGGGUGCGUAGGCGGUUUGAUAAGUUAGAGGUGAAAUGCCCCCGCUCAACGGGGUGAAGUGCCAUUGAUACUGCCUUGCUGGAAUGCGGAUGCCGUGGGAGGAAUGUGUGGUGUAGCGGUGAAAUGCAUAGAUAUCACACAGAACACCGAUUGCGAAGGCAUCUCACGAAUCCGCGAUUGACGCUGAUGCACGAAAGCGUGGGUAUCAAACAGGAUUAGAUACCCUUGUAGUC
rnacentral:rRNA from 1 species